GUGUCAGCCGCCGCGGUAAAACGUAGGAGACGAACGUUAUCCGGAGUUACUGGGCGUAAAGGGCGUGCAGGCGGCCUGAUAAGUCUGGCGUGAAAUUUCUCGGCUUAACCGGGAGAUGUCGUCGGAUACUGUUGGGCUAGAGGGCGAUAGAGGCGUGUGGAAUUCCGGGUGUAGUGGUGAAAUGCGUAGAGAUCCGGAGGAACACCAGUGGCGAAGGCGGCACGCUGGGUCGCACCUGACGCUAAGACGCGACAGCAUGGGGAGCGAACGGGAUUAGAUACCCGGGUAGUCC
rnacentral:rRNA from 1 species